rnacentral:rRNA from 1 species
UACGUAGGCAGCAAGCGUUGUUCGGAGUUACUGGGCGUAAAGGGUGCGUAGGCGGCUAUUUAAGUUUGGUGUGAAAUCUCCCGGCUCAACUGGGAGGGUGCGCCGAAUACUGAGUGGCUAGAGUGCGGGAGAGGAAAGUGGAAUUCCUGGUGUAGCGGUGAAAUGCGUAGAUAUCAGGAGGAACACCGGUGGUGUAAACGGCUUUCUGGACCGUAACUGACGCUGAGGCACGAAAGCGUGGGUAGCAAACAGG